UGAGGGUAUAUGUAUUGAAGAAAACGGCUAGAAAAAAAGUGAAAUAAGAAGGUAUAGGUAUAGAAAAUGACUGAUGAGGUGUUAAAUAUGAUAAAAUAAACAUUUUCUCAGACAACUCCAUUUUCAAUUUUUCUCUCCUUCCUCUCUUUCACGCCACUCCACUUGGGGGGAGGGGGGUAAGCAUCACAGUCACAUUUAGUGUGUAAAAAUGAGGGUAGUUCAUUGGAUGUGAAAAUUGAAAUUUAUGCAUUUGCGGAGCAGCUGAAUUACCCCCAUUCGCCCCAGUGGUUUUGGGGAGGCAUAUUUGCAAUUUCCGCAUAGUAACAGGCAAGUUAAUGACUUUCUGCAUUUAACAUGAGCAAACGCACGUAUAUCGUUGCCUUGUAGUCAUGUCAUAUGGUAUGAAAAUGGUCACUGCAGACUCAGUGGCGAACACGUUGGCGUUUUCAUACAUUUCAGCAAUACCCACAUGUAUGUGAGCGCACAGACACAGAGUCUCGCUGAUAUGAAAAUCGCGAAAAUAGCCAUAAAAUGAAAAACACAGUCAUUCACCAGAUAAUGUAUCACGAAAUCAAAUUUGAAAGUGUUGACAUUGAAUGAAACUCCUCAAUCAUAUCGCAAAUUGCUAAUUCUUCUAUAUGUACAUUAUAUAUACCUAUAAAUUGCCCGUCCCCAUUGAAAGUAUUACAUAUUUACGUACAUAAAACUUUGAGACAUCAAGAGAGGGUUGUUUCAUCAUCUCGGAACUGAAUUUAUUUAAUAUUAAAUGAAAUAAAUUAUCAACGGAAAGUCCAUGGCAAUAGAACAUUUAGAGGUGGAGGAUAAAUAGAACAUAAGUCUAUACAAUUAUAUGUAGUCAAAUGUACCCAGUAAAGUGGGCUGUGGAGUCCACAAGUACUCCAGGGUGUGGAGUGCGUCCACUGUAGCUGCACAGUGGGCGUAUUUCCUGCAGUAACUCCACAGUGGGUGCACAGUAUAUCCACAGUAGUCUUAUUUCCAAAGUCCACCGUGAAUACAGAAUGCGGAACUACAAAUGCAUCACCGUGGAUCCAGAUCCUGGAUUCAAAAGUGCACAUCCUAGAUCCACUGUAACUCCACAGUCUGACUAGGAUCUGCACUUAUUUUUAAUAAUUUGGCCAAAAAAUUUUGGGUGUCCGUGGGAAAAGUUUUGAAAUCUUCCCGGAAACAUUGCUUCCUCUACUUGUUAAUGCCAAAGUGGCCAAGAGAUUGGAAAUCUUAUCAGAGAACUUUCAUCUCCUAGCUAUUCUGGGUAUCCGUGGGAAUCUUUGAAAAAAUCUUUCCGGGAACAUUGCUUCCGCCACUUUUUGAUGCCAAAGUGGCCAAGAGAUUUCAGAUCUGGUCACAGAACUUUCAUCUCCUGGCCAUUCUGGGUAUCUGUGGAAAAAGUUUCGAAAUCUUCCCGGAAACAUUGCUUCAUCCACUUUUUAAUGCCAAAAUGACCAAGAGAUUUCAGAUCUGGUCACAGAACUUUCAUCUCCUGGAUAUUCUGGGUAUCUGUGGAAAAAGUUUCGAAAUCUUCCCGGAAACAUUGCUUCAUCCACUUUUUAAUGCCAAAAUGACCAAGAGAUUUCAGAUCUGAUCACAGAACUUUCAUCUCCUGGCCAUUCUGGGUAUCCGUGGGAAUUAAAAAAAAAUCUUUCCGGAAACAUUGCUUCCUUCAUUUUCUAAUGCCAGAGUGGCCAAGAGAUUUCAAAUCUGGUCACAGAACUUUCAUCUCUUGGCCACUUUGGGUAUCUGUGAAAAAAGUUACGAAAUCUUCCCGGAAACAUUGCUUCCUCCACUUUUUAAUGCCAAAAUCUUUCCGGAAACAUUGCUUCCUUCAUUUUCUCAUGCCAGAAUGGCCAAGAGAUUUCAAAUCUGGUCACAGAACUUUCAUCUCUUGGCCACUUUGGGUAUCCCUCGGAAAUUUUUUUUAGUGUUUCCGCCAAAUAUCUGCGCGGCGCUAGUGUUUGUGGAAAAAAGUGCAAAAAUGGUGGAAUGCUGACGCUGUGAUGGAAAUUCUCAAUUUUUGGUGGAAAAAAGCAUUGUAAGUAUGUUUUUCUUCUAUUAUCUUGUGAAUAAAAGGUGAUAGAAUGAUUGCGUGGUGGAGGAUAAACUAGUAUCCAAGGUAUUUUCAUGAAAAUCCUAAUAUUUUUUCUCAUAUUUUUAGGUUAUGUUUUUUUUUCUUCUUCCCGGACGUCCCUGACUGUAAAACAACACCAAAGUACUCCGGAAAGUACUAAUUAUCAUAUUACAAGCGUAAUGCCGUACAUGAAUCUCAAUCCGGCAGACAGGCCGCGGCAUCAGCUGCGCGCAAUCACCAUCGACUUCUUCCGUACAAAGUGAUGAAGACAAAUCCUGAAUAUGCCGCCCUUGUGGACUUUAUUAUGCUCUGGCUGGAGGAGCACAAAGCACACAAUCCCGAUUACAAGGGCAUCAUUAUGCUCUACCAUUAGCAACGAAAAUUUGUGCCCUACGUCCUCCUGGAAGCGCUCAAGAAGUACGACAUGCUCCCACACUUCAAAACCUCCAUUGUUAGGCUUCACAAGUGUCUACCCAUUGCAUUGGCUAAGAAUGAAUGUGGGGUAACUUUGAAGUCUUUCACCCUAAGAAACUCAAACAGAUCAUCUUGAAAUGCGAUGAAGAUGACAGGAAUAAGUUUGAGGGUAGUACCAAUAUACGCUCAAAAAUAGCCUAUGAUGUGUUGAAGAUGUUGGUAAAUAAACCAUCUCCAGCUUCUGUUGAGGUGAAGAAGCAAGAUAUUGAAGCUGCUGCGGUGCAGCAACCGGAAGCAGCUGUUCAGCAGAAUUACAAAAGCAGGAGAGUUAAGAGCAAAAGCCGGAGCAAACGGAGCAACAAGUUGAGGAAGAAGGAGAACGUAAUAAGGUAAAGGAAGCUGCUCAGGAGGUUGUUGAAACGCUCUUUGUACCUGAGAUGCAGAAAGAAGAAGCCAAACCGGCUGUUAUGCCAGUUGUGAAGCAAGCAACAACGGAGAAGGAGCGAACAGUUGUCUUCUAUCGUGAUAUCACGGGCAUAGCGACGACAAUUAAGAAGAACCUCCAGGAAUUGGGUGGGCAGCAAACAAUUCUGGACAGGCUGAAUUCUCUAAGGAGAAUUAUUGUUGAUUACUUCAAGACUAUUCUCUAUACCAUCGUGUGAAGGGUGUUACCUUUCGACGUUUCCUGACGAAACAGGGCUUCGAUAUGAGAAAGUUGCAGGACUUGCAGGACAUCUGAGGGAAGGAGAAGCGCGAUGGCAUCAGGGUGGCCGUUGCGGGACUGCGGGAACUCAAGGAGGAUAUCACGAAGGAGUUAACGGAUCUCCUUGAUUGUCAUUUUGAUUCAGAGAAGCAGCUAAUUAUGCUACUGUCCCGGAAGACCAACAAGAGGCUCUUUCAGAAGAGACAAACUUCGAGAAUUUCAUCGAGAACGCGAAAUAUUCAAAAGGGAAAUAAUCAACAGAAAGACAAUCAGCAGCAUCACAAUGGUGAAAAAAAAAGAUCUUUUUUUAAAUAAAAAAAAUUUUCUGUGUAAAGAAUUUUUGGUAACUUAGAGGAGAAAGAAAAAAAUCCUUUAAGAAAAAUUUAUUGAUUAAUUUGUUGAGAAACUGAAAAUUCUCUUUUUUAAAGUAAUUCUUGAAAAAAGAUUUUUUUCUGUGUAAAGAAUUUUUGGUAACUUAGAGGAGAAAGAAAAGAAUCUUUUAAUAACAAUUAAUUGAUUUAUUUGUUGAGAAACUGGAAAUUCGCUUUUUUAAAGUAAUUCUUGAAAAAAGAAGAUUUUUUUCUGUGUAAAGAAUUUUUGGUAACAGGAGAAAGAAAAAAAAUCCUUUAAUAACAAUUUAUUGAUUGAUUUGUUGAGAAACUGGAAAUUCGCUUUUUUAAAGUAAUUCUUGAAAAAAGAAGAUUUUUUUCUGUGUAAAGAAUUUUUGGUAACAGGAGAAAGAAAAAAAAUCCUUUAAUAACAAUUUAUUGAUUGAUUUGUUGAGAAACUGGAAAUUCGCUUUUUUAAAGUAAUUCUUGAAAAAAGAUUUUUUUCUGUGUAAAGAAUUUUUGGUAACUUAGAGGAGAAAGAAAAGAAUCUUUUAAUAACAAUUAAUUGAUUUAUUUGUUGAGAAACUGGAAAUUCUCUUUUUUAAAGUAAUUCUUGAAAAAAGAUUUUUUUCUGUGUAAAGAAUUUUUGGUAACUUAGAGGAGAAAGAAAAGAAUCUUUUAAUAACAAUUAAUUGAUUUAUUUGUUGAGAAACUGGAAAUUCGCUUUUUUAAAGUAAUUCUUGAAAAAAGAAGAUUUUUUUCUGUGUAAAGAAUUUUUGGUAACAGGAGAAAGAAAAAAAAUCCUUUAAUAACAAUUUAUUGAUUGAUUUGUUGAGAAACUGGAAAUUCGCUUUUUUAAAGUAAUUCUUGAAAAAAGAAGAUUUUUUUCUGUGUAAAGAAUUUUUGGUAACAGGAGAAAGAAAAAAAAUCCUUUAAUAACAAUUUAUUGAUUGAUUUGUUGAGAAACUGGAAAUUCGCUUUUUUAAAGUAAUUCUUGAAAAAAGAUUUUUUUCUGUGUAAAGAAUUUUUGGUAACUUAGAGGAGAAAGAAAAAAAUCCUUUAAGAACAAUUAAUUGAUUUAUUUAUUGAGAAACUGGAAAUUCGCUUUUUUAAAGUAAUUCUUGAAAAAAGAUUUUUUUCUGUGUAAAGAAUUUUUGGUAACAGGAGAAAGAAAAAAAAUCCUUUAAUAACAAUUUAUUGAUUGAUUUGUUGAGAAACUGGAAAUUCGCUUUUUUAAAGUAAUUCUUGAAAAAAGAAGAUUUUUUUCUGUGUAAAGAAUUUUUGGUAACAGGAGAAAGAAAAAAAAUCCUUUAAUAACAAUUUAUUGAUUGAUUUGUUGAGAAACUGGAAAUUCGCUUUUUUAAAGUAAUUCUUGAAAAAAGAAGAUUUUUUUCUGUGUAAAGAAUUUUUGGUAACAGGAGAAAGAAAAAAAAUCCUUUAAUAACAAUUUAUUGAUUGAUUUGUUGAGAAACUGGAAAUUCGCUUUUUUAAAGUAAUUCUUGAAAAAAGAUUUUUUUCUGUGUAAAGAAUUUUUAGUAACUUAGAGGAGAAAGAAAAAAAUCCUUUAAGAACAA